rnacentral:lncRNA from 1 species
GUCUUAAAUUCUGGGCUUAGCAAAUCUAGAAAUAUCAUCUGAGACAUAAUACUUAAUCUUUAUGUUGGUUCUUCUUCCCUGGAGUUUUCAGUGAAAGAACUGAAGACAGUGAGUGGCUCACAAGGGACCCAAAGAGACUUCAAGGCCCCAGGUAGGAAAGUGCUACAGAAAUACAAGGAUGUGGGGAAUAGCUGAGGCUGAACCUAAGAACUAUGCUUCCAAAGUCUGAAGGUAGCAGCUAACUGAGAGAUCCUGAAACCUUUCUCCUUUUCAUAUAGGCUACUGAGUUAUUGGUAUUCCAGAGUAAAACCCAGGAGUGUUAUACUCUAUAGAUCUUCACUAAGCUCUGGAGUGCCACAGAUAAUAACUGUAAAAGCAAUAAUUAAUAAUUGCUAUUAAGAUAUCAUUUACAAAAGCCUGCAAAUAAGUUGCCAUAUGUCAGAGAAGGUCAGGCAGUAGCCCGGAGGCAGACAGUUGUAUCCCAAAGUCACUGAUGAGCCAGGUGAGAGCACCAGGUGCUGAAUAUUGCCAGUGACUGUGCACACCAGGAAACCUGGCCCCUUGCCCUUCUGCAGGGAAGUGUUAACAGAGCAAGUCAGAGCAGAAAAUGGUAGAAAGCAGGGAAACCAGUUCUUCAGGGUGUGUAAUAGGAUAUUUUGAAUUUUCAGUGAAAAACGCUUGCUUUUCUCAGCAUUGGAAAGCAACUCCCAGUGUGUUUUGUUCAUCGCUCAGCUGAGGAGUGGCAUCAGAAAGACCAAAAAGACUGGGAGACUGGACUUGAUUUCUCCUGGGCGGCCCACAGACCCCACUCUAUGCCCCUUCCAUGAGGCCUCCAAGUCUGCAGAUGUCCCUUUGUGUGGACAGCCAGACCGUGGCCCUGCCAGCAAUGCCGACUAUUGCACACACACUGGCUGCUUCCAAGAAACAUCUCAAGAUGUAGGAAGAUGGAGAAUCACGGCCUGCCAGGUAGGCCAGCCUACCUUGUGGACCGGGUUUUCUGGGCCUUUGGCUUUUGAUGGGCUUCUUUGAUGGGCUGUAAAGGGCUUGCUAUUCAGUAAUAACACCCCUGUGAUACCCACUGCCUCAUCUACACUGUUAAUGCUUUGCAAAGCCUGCACAAAUCAAUUUAAUGAACGGGUUAUAUUAACAUUAUAACUGGAAAACAUCAUGGUGCUUAGUCCUCCCCAUGGCUUUGAGCUACCUAUCCCACAUAUGGCUGCUUUUGAUCUGAUGCUGAGGAAUCUGAGAGAUAAGGCUUGGUGUCUGAGGAGGUCUGGAGAGACAAGGGAAAUACAGGCAUCUAAAAAUGUUUUUCCUUGUAAGUAGGAGUAAAUUUGUUUACUGCUUUUCAUAUACAUUAUUUCUGUGAGUGUAGAUAUCAUACGGAGUUAAAGAACCUUCUGAUAUAAUCCAUAUUCUAUGCAAAGUCUGGAUGAAAUAAAAAUCAAAUUCAAAUUUUAACA